UUCUUCUCCUGCUAUUUUUAUUUUACGGUUCCAUAGUAAAAGAGAUUAAGGCUUGCUGAAGACAUCAUGAACAGAUGAACCGAUGCAUUAUUUUCAAUCUGAGCCAAAGUUACCGGAUCCCUUUAAAGCCGCAACGAGCCGGACCUGUUGGGUAGUAAUAUCUUCCUGAAAGGAAGCGAUUCCACUCACUAACAAGUACAACCAGCUGAUAGGAAGAUCAACUUUAUAGUGUAUACUGGAGCAUGAAAGGUGCAACUUGUUCUGUAAUCAUGCAGUGGAUUUUGAAUGAAAGAAGGUGGGCAUUAUAGGACUACAUCUUAAAUUAGAGCCCGCGCAUGAAGACAGGUAACUACAGGUAACUACAGGUAACUAUACCAAUGACAUCCCAGUUCAAUACGAUGACAGCACCAAACGCCACACCAGAAAUAUCACACUUCUCAUUCAAAGCC